CAGGGCAGUCAACAUACAUGCUGGUCACUGCAGCCUAGGGAGAGCCGGGAGCGGCGCCCACACAGGGAGCAUCCAGAGUCAAGCAGGUGGGAUGUGGUUUUCUUUCGACCUGGACGUCCUUCGCAUGUUAACCACAGAGUGGCUUUCACUUCCACAAGGAAAUGUGCUCUCUCCCAGUUCUCUUGAACUGUGAAGCCCUCAGUCCAUCCUCGGUUCCCAUGGAUACAAGCAAGAAGGGCACAAGGAUGGAUGGUAACUGUAGCCGGGAGCCCGUCUGGGAACGCCAAGCAGCGCGGCCAGAUCUGCCAGUUUAUCGACAGCGUCCAGAGGUUCAGAUUUGUGUGUGAGAUCUGGUGUUUGAAUAUUGGCAACUACAUUCGAUUUUUUUUAAUCCUAUUAGAAAAAUAACAAAUGUGGGCCAAAUCCAGCAUGAGGACGGCCAGGGCCCAGCACAGUGAGGAGGUGAGACGCCAGAACGCCAGCAUCACAGCACCGGGCAGGGACAGCAUGGCCAGGGCGGGAGGACGACGACCUCCAGGGAAGGUGCAGGGAAGCCCAGACAGGCAAGAGCGUGUCAAGAAGCUGCCAACAGUGUCAAUCGGGCAGAUAAGGCCGAGGAGUCCCUCGUGGCGUUUCACAACAAGGUGACAUUUGCCAGAUCAGUUUAGCCGAGCUGGGGCGGCUGCCAGGGUUAAAGAGGAACAAGGCGCGAGGGUGGGGAGGAUGUGGAAGGAGAGAGUGCAGACAGCUCUUUUAAGAGACUUGGCUGUGGCGGGCCAAGAGGACCGUCAGGCUCAGCUGAGAGACCAGGGUGUGGGUGGCUGGAGGGGCCUGGGAGGCAUCUGCUGGAGGAUGGUGGUAGAAGAUGGGAGAAGUUGGGAGGGGGCUGUAAGGUGAGAGUGGGGUGGAGGGCAGGGGCAAAUGCGGAACCGUGGAGCCAGAGCUAGCCUAGCGUGGGGCAGGAGCAGAUACCAGGCACCUCCUUGAACUAGCCACCCUCACUCUGUAGGUGUGAUGCAAUCACAUGUCAUUUAAUCAUCAUAACACCUUUGAGAACACAUUAUUAAAGGCAUGUUUCAGAUGAGGGUACUGAGGCUCAGAGAGGAACAGUGACUUGUACAGAGUCAUCCAGGAAUGGCCUGGCCUGCCGCUCCAAGGAUCAAAGGCCAGAGUGUUCCCUGCUGACCCGCCAGCACUCCCCAGCUCCUGUCAUGCGUCCCCCAUCACCUGGGCUCCCAUCCAGACUUUGCCACUCCAUCAGCUGUGUGCCUCUGGGCAAGACACUGCCCCACUUUAAGCCUUGGUUUUCCCAUCUGUAAAGUAAUAGCAUCUGGGAGCAGUGGCUUACACCUGUAAUCCCAGCACUUUGGAAGGCUGAGACGGGUGGAUCACCUGAGGUCAGGAGUUCAAGACCAGCCUGGCCAACGUGGUGAAACCUCAUCUCUACUAAAAAUACAAAAAUUAGCCAGGCGUGGUGACAGGCACUUAUAAUCCCAGCUACUCAGGAGUCUGAGGCAGGAGAAUUGCUUGAACCCAGGAGGCAGAGGUUGUGGUGAGCCGAGAUUGCGCCACUGCACUCCAGCCUGGGUGACAACAGUGAGACUCUGUCUCAAAAAAAUAAUAAUAAUAGCAACCACAAGCUGCAAAGAUCACAGUGUUCCGAAGCUGGGGUGCAAGGCUGUGCGGGUGGAGGCCAUGGGGACUGGGAAGUGAAUGUCCUCGUGCCAGGCAGGGAAGGCCAUUAGCACCCUUGGAGGGGGCAGAGACCAUGGCAGGGGGCUGAGUGGGCAACUGGAGAGGCAGCAGGCAAGGGAGGGGCUUUUCCCAGCUCAGAAUGGCUUGAGCUCAUUUGGAUCAGCAGGGAGGGAGGCGGUGGAGGGCGAGGGACUGUUUUGCCAGAGUAUGGAGGCAGGCACUCAUGAUUCUGCUACUGCCUCUUCAGUGCGGGGCCCCACAUGGCCUUGGUACACACAUAAGGUACACGCCAUCCUCAGAUUCUCCACGCGGCCCUGUUAUAGGAAGGGAGCUGAGGCCCUGGGCUAAAGGGCUGGCCGCAGGUCAACCUUUGAACUUGAGUCUGCCUAAAUCCAAAGCUGACCCUGAGAGUGGAAGAAGAACCCCUCCCAACUGAGGCCUUAAAGGAAGGAGGGGAGUGGACCAGGGUUCUGGGGCUCAUGGUGGAACAAGAACAAGCUCGCUGACUGACAGCCUGGGGGAACUCCGAAAACCAGCACCAGCCGCUUGGGAGAUUGUGCAGGGGGAGCCACUUCCGAGCCAGUAAGGACCCCAGGACCAGCCUGGCCUCUCCUGCUCAGGUUUUGGGGGUACUGGAAGAUCAACUCAGAUUUCACUCAUGUCUCUUGCCACUGACAGAAUGACCACUACUUGGGUACCAGGCAGAUUAGGUAGGUCUCUCGGCUGCAAUUCAAGCUAGUUUAAGCAAAAAUGGGAAUAACUGAACUGAAAAAGUGAAUGGUUUCAAAUCUGGCUGGAUCCAGGUACCCAUGACGGCGACCGGGACCCUCUCUCGUGCUCUCCGUCUCUCCGCUCUGCUGUUCUCGAUGCUGGCUUCAUUCUCAGAAGGCCCUCCCCACUACUGGCAAGGAUGGCCCCCAGCAGCUCCAGACCCAUACCGGGCCAGCUCAGCAGCCCCAGUGGACACAGGGAGCCUUUCUUUUCUUUUCUCUCUCUCUUUUUUUUUUUUUUGAGAUGGCGUCUCACCCUGUGGCCCCGGCUAGAGUGCAGUGGUGUGAUCUCAGCUCACUGCAACCUCCGCCUCCCGGAUUCAAGCACUUCUCCUGCCUCAGCCUCCUGAGUAGCUGGGACUACAGGCGUGUGCCACCAUACCCAGCUAAUUUUUGUAUUUUUAGCAGAGACGAGGUUUCACCAUGUUGGCCAGGAUGGUCUUGAUCUCUUGACCUCGUGAUCUGCUCGCCUCGGCCUCCCAAAGUGGUGUGAUUACAAGCGUGAGCCACCGUGCUCAGCAAGGGAGCCUUUCUUAAUGGCGCCAGCGAAAGUCCCAGGGACAAUGCCCAUUGGACUAACUUGGGUCAUGUGUCUGUCUCUGAAGUAGUCACUGGGUCUGACCCUUCCUGGCUUGGAUGACAUACUCCGGUUUAGAGCUGAAACUGGAAAAUCUGCCAGAAAAUGGGAUGUGGAGCAGGCCUGGCAGGGAUGUCCACGGCACUUCCUCCCCUCAUGCCCAGGGCCCUGCCCCUGACUCCAUUCCCAGACCUCAGAGCUGGAGCAUCUGGAACUUCUGACCAGACUCCAGCCCACUUCACCCCUGCAUGCAGAAAUAGGGAUGCUACAAGGGGAAGUGGGGAGAGUAUGUGGGGUGCUGAAAUGACCUGGGACAGACCUGGGUUCCCAUUCAGACUUUGCCACUCACCAGCUGUGUGUCUCCGGGCAAGUCACUGACUCUCUCUGGGCGUCGGUUUUCCCACCUGUAAAAUAAUAAUAAUAAUAAUAACAACCAACACAUUGACAGCA